rnacentral:rRNA from 1 species
GAUGAGUAAUGCAUAGAUAACCUGCCCUGAAUUUGGGGACAACACGGCGAAAGCUGUGCUAAUACCGAAUGUGGUGAAUACGUGACUCGUAUUCACUAAAGAUGGCCUAUCCUUGGAAGCUGUCGAUUCAGGAUGGGUCUAUGUCCUAUUAGCUUGUUGGUGAGGUAAUGGCUCACCAAGGCAACGAUGGGUACCCGGGCUGAGAGGCUGGUCGGGCAUAUUGGAACUGAGACACUGUCCAAACUCC